GAUCCUGGCUCAGGAUGAACGCUAGCUACAGGCUUAACACAUGCAAGUCGAGGGGCAGCGGGAUUGAAGCUUGCUUCAAUUGCCGGCGACCGGCGCACGGGUGAGUAACGCGUAUCCAACCUUCCGUACACUCAGGGAUAGCCUUUCGAAAGAAAGAUUAAUACCUGAUGGUAUGAUGAGAUUGCAUGAUAGCAUCAUUAAAGAUUAUCGGUGUACGAUGGGGAGUGCG
rnacentral:rRNA from 1 species